UGGGGAAUAUUGCGCAAUGGGGGAAACCCUGACGCAGCAACGCCGCGUGAAUGAGGAAGGCCCUAGGGUUGUAAAGUUCUGUCGGGUAGGAAGAAUGGUACUAGGUCUAAUAGGCCCAGUAUUUGACGUUACUACCAAAGGAAGCACCGGCCAACUUCGUGCCAGCAGCCGCGGUAAUACGAAGGGUGCAAGCGUUGUUCGGAUUUACUGGGCGUAAAGUGCACGCAGGCGGAUUGAUAAGUCAGAUGUGAAAUCUCGGGACUCAACCCCGAAACUGCGUCUGAAACUAUUGAUCUAGAAUCUCGGAGAGGGAAGUGGAAUUUCGUAUGUAGGGGUAAAAUCCGUAGAUAUGCGAAGGAACAUCAGAGGCGAAGGCGACUUCCUAGAAGAGUAUUGACGCUGAGGUGCAAAAGCGUGGGGAGCAAACAGG
rnacentral:rRNA from 2 species